UGAAGGAAGCUUUGUAUUGGCCUCAACCUGGAAUCUUUAAGAAUAAUUCAUCAUGGAAUAGUUGUAUGAUAUGUCCUGCCAGGAAGGCCCUAGAGCAGGGGAGAGAAGAGAGGACAACUUCCAGAGACAAUUCAGGAAUUUUUUUUUUUUUUUUUUUUGAGACGGAGUCUGGCUCUGUCGCCCAGGCUGGAGUGCAGUGGCGCCAUCUCGGCUCACUGCAAGCUCCGCCUCCCGGGUUCAUGCCAUUCUCCUGCUUCAGCCUCCCGAGUAGCUGGGACUACGAGUAGCUGGGACAAGUAGCUGGGACUACAGGCACCUGCCAACACGCCUGGCUAAUUUUUUUGUAUUUUUAGUAGAGACAGGGUUUCACCAUGUUAGCCAGGAUGGUCUCAAACUCCUGACCUCGUGAUCCACCUGCCUCGGCCUCCCAAAGUGCUGGGAUUACAGACGUGAGCCACCGCGCCCUGCGACAAUUCAAGAAUUUUAAGUCAACAGGCUGCCCUGGCUGACCUAGGAACCGGGUGGAGGAGUGAGUUAUUUCUUCCCCACCAGCCCACAAAAGGCCAUAAACACUCCACACUACCAAUAUCCUUGAAAUUUCUCAGAAAGUAAAAAAACAACUUUUUCCUUGAAAUAGCAUCUGGCUAGCCAUUACUAGUGGCAGCCCCACACCUGGGCCUGGAUCAGGAAUGAGACUGAGGCUGGGUUAGAGGCCUGUGGUUCCAGCAGUCCACUAGCACACUCAGUUCUGGUAGCCACUUGAGUUCUGUGCUGCUGAGGUGGCAAGGCAGCAGUUUUGGGAGGGCUUCCGUGUGUGUGUGUGUGUGUGUGUGUGUGUGUGUGUGUGUGUGUGUGUGUGUGUGUGUGUAGAGGGUCCUGUGGAAGCCAAAGAUUCUUGGAAGAGGGGGGGAAGUGAGAAGGGCAGAGGGGAUCCUGCCCCACAGGGUAGAAGCCAGAUCAGGCUCACACUUGCAGGGGCUUAAGGGAGGGUUCACCCACAGAACCCCAUCAGAACCACAGUCCUCUUCCCCAACACACGCCCAGGCAAGUCUCCCUUACUCAUUCAGACACCCAGGCAGUCCACAUGACCAGUUCUGGGAACACAGGAAGUAGCAUACAAGGAGGAGGGAACCAGAAUUCUGGAAAGCCUUAUAGAGAGGGAAUGGGGAGGAGAGAAGGCAGGGAGAGCAGAGAGCGGAAGGAGGGGGAGGGCACAAGUAAAGCCUCAAGGGAGAGUCUGAGCACGAAGGGUUGUUAGCACCUAGGGGGUCCAAAGACCAGGCACAGAGCCCACUGCCUGGCCCCUGGCCUGGAGCCAAAAAAGACAAACCUCACAUGGGAAAGUGGGGAGGGGACAACCGCCCAAGCCUUGAAGUCUGGAGGGGAUCUGAAAGUGAAAACGCUCUAGGAGCCCUGAGAGUUAAACUCCUCAGGUUCAGUGCAGCCCCUUGGGUCCAAAUCCAGGCCCAAACCAGGAACUGGAAGACCCAAAAAGCGGGACCAGCGACCUGCUGCGAACUUCGGGACUAAGGUGGUAGGCGAGUCUGGCGAACAGCUCAGUCCGUGGCUCUGUCCCGGAGGCUCAAGGUUGGGGGGUGAGGCGGGCUGGGGUACGGAAUUGCGAAGACUUCAGUAGAGCUCCGAAGCCCAGCCUGGACUGCGUAGAAGGAACACAACCAGCUGCGGCCCCAGUGCGCGCUCCAGGUGCCAGAACCGCCUACCCCUGGCGUCAACCAGGUUCUUUAGCUGUGAAGGGGCCUGGGAGACCCGCCCAGGGGGUACGCGGAGCGGGGCGCAAGCUGAGAGCUGGAGCGUGGUAUCUUCCCUCUCCCUCUUACCGUCCCCUCCCAGAGGAUAAACCGAGGCCUGGAGUCCGAAGCCCGGGCUGCUAUUCCACCUGUCACUUCGGAGCCUCGGGGCGGAGGAGGGAGGCGCCAGAGUUGACAGCUCGCGCUCCGACCGCCCCCUUCUAGCUCCGCACUCCGCCUCGCACAACGCCGUUCCCCCUUUUAAAGAAGUGCCCGGGGCUCCAGUCUACGCCGCGCCAGCCCGCAAAGGGCCGCGGCGACGUCGCCCGUUUAAGAGCCAGCCUCCCUUAACUCUCUCUUAACGGGGCGUCCCGGCGGGGCUCGCGGCUCCCGGCAGCGGCCGCCUCCCCUCGCGGCACUUCCGGACCCCGGCGUCGCCCUUUUAAGAGGCAGCCCCCAGCAGCGCUCUCCCCGCCCCCUGUUGCCGGCGCGCGAGGCGGGGGAGCCGGGCUGGAGCGGAGCGCGCGGUCCGCGCGGCCACUGGAGACCAGGCGGCCGGCGGCCGGGCAGGCGGCGGCGGAGCGCGCGGCGGCGUGGCGGCGGAUGGGGACGCGGAGCCGGGCGGCUGUGGCGGCUGUGGCUGUGGCGGCGGCUGGGAAGCAGCUGACGGGCCGGCGGCGGCGGCGGCGCUGGCGGCGGUGACUGGUCCAGGCCCCGGCGGCGGCUGCAGCGACGCGGUGGCGGGCUGCGGGCGGGCGGCGUGAGGAGCGGCGGCGGAGCGCGGGGCCGCCGGGAACCGAGGGCGCCGGGCCGCCCCCUGCCCAGUCCUUGCAGGCCGCCAGGCCCCCUCCAGCCGGGGCCGUGGAGCACCGGGGCAAAGGCCGGGGCCCCCCCAUGAAGGAGCGCGACGCGGCCCCGGCCGAGCGGGGCAAGCCGGCCACCUACACCGGGGACAAGAAGGCGAAGAUGGCGGCCAAGACCAACAAGAAGUGGGUCCGGCUCGCCACCGUGUUCGCCUACGUGCUUUCCGUGUCGCUGGCCGCCAUCGUGCUCGCCGUCUACUACAGCCUCAUCUGGCAGCCAGUGGGCGCCGGGACAUCGGGGGGAGCCGCUGGCCCGCCCCCCGGCGGCUCCAACGCCACUGGCCCGUCUGGGACUUCGGGGGCGGCGGCGGCGGGGCCCAACACCACUGGGUCGUCCCGCCGCGAGGCGCCGCGCGACGCUCCCCCACUGCAGGCGGCGCGGCCGGCGCCUCCGGAGCCCCCUGCGGACAGCCCCCUGGCCGGGCCGCUCGAGCGGCCUCGGGGGUCGGACGAGGACGAAGAGGAAACGUUGGCGGCGCCUGGGAGUCGUUGAAGCCCUCCGCGCUGGGGGCCGCCGGGAACCAUCCUCCCCAAGCCCAGAGGCAGGACUUCGCAGCAGGAUGGGGUGGAGAGCCCGCGGGAGUGACUCCCACGGGAGUGAACGCCCCUCACACUCCCACCAUCGCCGGCUGGCCCCGGAGCGGGAGGCCCGCUGCCAGAUCUUCAGCCAAGGGACCACGAUUCUCCGGGGGGGCUGGGGGUUUGCUGCCCAGGACCGUGCUGCACCAGGGCCCUGAGCCGUAGGGGGAUGGGGGGAGGGGUGGGGAGAUCCCGGCACCAAACCCUUGUGCGCCGCUCGCUCUGGUGUAUCCUACAUGCAGGGAUGACUGGGGCUUUCCCCCAAGACUCAGGGGAAGGAUGGAGCUGUAGGGGCUCUUUUUAAGUAAGCUGAAGCUCUCGAAAGGAGGAGGGCACCAAAAGUAGUGGAGCUCAGUGCCCCCACCAAAGAGGCUUCUUGUUGCAGCCCUCAGUAUCUGGAUAUGGGCCAGAGAGGAAGGAAGGGAAAGGGCAAUGCUGCUGUGCUUCAAUCCUGGCCUUCCGCUCACAGAAUUCUUUUAGGAAGAGCAAGCUUUUGUAAGUAGAGUGGCAAGUGUUUUUAUCUUUUUUUUUUCCUGCUCCUCAAAAUGUUGUCUUGUUCCGGCAAUCACUUUUGCCUUCCCUCUUUCCUGAACCUGUAGUGACAAAGCCCUGCGAUUUGGGAUGAAAUCUGUUGUGACACCAGAGCUUUGAUCACACACCCUCUGAUUUUGAGUUAUACUACAGAAUCAGAAAGGCUGGAAGGUGGGCUUCACACUCAGGAUUGUGCUCUGAGAGCCAGCUAAUAGACCAGCCAAGGGAAGGUUGAAUUGGCUGUCUUUACCCUUCCUGAUAAGCCCUACUUAAAUGCAGCCUGUAAUUGCAUAAAGGAGACGAGAAACAUCAAGAGAAAUGACAUACGUGUAGCUCUGGGGUAGCAAGAACUAGACUUCCUCAAUUUUGAUUCCAUUUCCUUCUGCCACUUGCUUUUAGGCAAUUGAGUGUGGGUAGUGAUGAGAUAUCAAACCCCUUAGUGUUUGCUUUUUGGGAAAUGAGACACUAUUUUUUUUUUUUUUAAAAGACAACUUAACCCACCUGAGUCCUGAAACAGUUUGUCUCUCCAGUUUUCUGGCCUAUACUCUAGUUAGCUCUGAUCCAAGUUUACAGGACAACAGCCUUGCUUUAAGCCAUGUCCUGUUGUGGGCACGAUAAUAGCAACUGAGCUGUCACAGCCUACCAGCAGGCUGGUAACACCUCCAGGGUCUCUUGGCUAGAGCAGAUUUCUUAGCAGCUGACUAGGACUUCAGUCAUUGAGAAGCCUACGAGGCCUUUACAUUUUUGGUGUGAGAUGGGGAAGAAACAUAAAAUGCCACUUUAUAACUUCAAUAAUAGCCUGUAAUUUAUAUUUACUGUGUGAAUUUUUAGUCCUAUAUUUUAAUAAUUUGUAAAUUGAUCUCUUAUUCCAAGAGUCCUUUGAACUUGUAGAACAUCUGGGAGUCCACUUCCCUGUCCUCUUCCUGAUCCCUGCUUUCUGGACUGUUUAAAUCCUCUUUGGGAUGGAUCAGAGAGUCUAGAGAGGCCAUUCAUAGGUCCAGCUGCUGGCCUCCUGACUCUCCAAAGCCUUCACUGGAAUUGGGACAUUUGCUCCAGCCCUAGCUGUGAACAUGACCAGAGACAUUAUUUAUAAUUCAGCCAUUUAAGAUAUACCUGUACUCAAAAAGUCCUGUAUAUUUUUUAAAAGUUUUAUUUUUCAGGUGAACAAAAAUACAUCCUAAGAACUCUGCCUAA